rnacentral:siRNA from 1 species
UGGUCUGCAGCACGCGCCUAA